ensembl:lncRNA
AGGUGGUGCUGUCACUCGUCUCUGCUCGGCCCCAAAAUAGUCCUGAUUAAAUGAAGAGGUGCAUGUCCUCAGGAUCAUCAUUUCUGCCGAUGAUAGAAAUCUUUCACUGGAUCUCCACAGCCGUUCUGAAGGCAGGUCUGGAUGGUGUGUGAGUGAGUGGAGAAGUGUCCAUGUCGAGAUGAAGCAGGUCACAACUGUCUCGUUGCCAAGAGUCACUGCUGCUCACGUCGCCUGCGAUCACCAACUCGCUUGAAAAUGAACAAGCUGCUAAAUGCAGAGGUGCUUUUCACACUGACAGCCAUUUGCAGUGACAAAGCAUCUGGAAGUCAUUCAUUUUCAAUGAGAGCUGGAGAUCUGAGGAGGCCAGAAACACAGAUUGAUGGCAAUGCAAUUAAGGAAGGAAGGUAACACUUUAUAGUAACUUUAAUUUACAAAUCAU